rnacentral:lncRNA from 1 species
UGUAAAAUGUACAUAUUAAUUUUCUAGUUUUAGAGACCAUUUUCAUUAAAAAUAUUUUCCAAUAGUUUUUCUAGAUAAACAAUUUAUACUUAAUUGUUGCUUGGUUGCUUACAUUUCAACCUCUAGGCUUCCUUUUUCAGCUAACUUGGCUGUCUUCAGGUUGUAAAGAAAAAUGUAAACAUAUAUUUGAAAUUUCAUUAACUGAAACUGCUGUAAGGUGUUAGCAAAUGUUAACCAUAACAGAUUAUCCCAUAUCAUUGGACUGUUCUAUUAUUGGGUCAGGAAUAAUAGGUGACACAGGAUAGAAGCUCUUCCUAUAUAUAUCUUGUUGCUAAGGCAGUAGUUGGCUCUAAGCUGAUAAACAGCACACUGUACAGCAGUCCAAAAACUAAAACCAGAGCUUAGGUCAUUCAAGUUAACUGGUACUCAAGGUUACUCAUUCCAGGAUACUUUACAUAACCAAAAACCUAGGAGAGCAUUCUACAUUGUAAUUUUUUUUUUACUUUGUUUACAUAAAAUUUACAGGGUUUUGUUUUUUUAAGCUUAGUCUGUUCUUUGACAUUGUUGAUUCAUGUUCUAAAUUUUCAUCAGAUUUAACAUGUUUGGAGGUUCUUGUGCACUCAAUGUGAACCUACUACAAGCUUCUGAACUGCAAAACCUUUUUUUUAGGUCACUGUCAACAGAAAGAUGCCUUAUAGAAUUUCUCAUGAUUGAAACAGAACUCUGCAUUCUAACCUAAAACCCCUCUAACCCUUUAAAUGAAGCAUUAUGCCUGCGUGAAAUUUUAUUUUUAGACAUUUCUGAUACUAGGUUUUCUUUACGGGGGGGCAUACAUAUUCAGUAUACUGAAUUUAUACAGCUUUCAGUGUGGCAAUAUAUUAAGAAGCUAGUUCCCUAAUUUUUCUCAGUUCUCAUUGGUUUUCCAUUUAAAUGUUUCCGUAAGUACUCUCAUCAUUUGGAAAAUACUUGAUGGCAGGAGAACUUGCUUAAAACUAAAGGUGGAGAAAGAGUUAACUUCCAGGACAACCCAUUAUAGCUCACUUCUUACCAACAAAGCAGUUUUUAUACAGCACCUUAGGACUCAUUUCUAAUGUCAACCCAGAUGGCCAGUAAAGGCAAGGGAAGAGGCUAAGUGACUCACAAAAAUCUCUGAUAUUGAGGUCUAAUGUGAAGGCUAUAGAUAGGAAUUCCCCACAAACUUCUAAUGAGGACUAAUAUGAACAGCAAAUUGGAGAAGACACCAAGGACCUAAUUUUAGUUUCACUAGCCGUGGGACCUUAGAAAAAAGACCAUUUGCUCUGGACUUUUGUUUCCCAAGCCAUAAAAUGUGGAAGAAUCUUCACAAUUUCAAGUUGGUCAUGUAUAUUUCCCUUUUACAGAGAAAGCUGAAGCCUCGAGGCUCAGAUUUACCUGGCUUCUGUUUACCUGGCUUCUGCAGAAGUUUAACUUGUAACCUACCUCUCAUUCCCAAAGUGUGUUUAAUCAUGCCGCCUUCUUUAAAAUAUAUCUGGAAGCACCAAUGAGUAAAGACAAAGGCCCCAAGCUAGAUCUGUAGAGAUAAGUACUAGACUCACAUCUCAGUACUAUCAAGGAAAACAUGCUUAGGUUAUCAGAAUUGUGAAGGCCAUAGUACAAAAAGUUAAGAGAACGGAACUCAGGAUCUGAGAAAGAUCAGCCAUUCUCAGCAUGUUGCCUUGGCUGCUUAACCUUACUAAACUUCCAUUUCCUCACAUGUAAAAUGUACAUCAUAAUAACUAGUCUACUGAGAUAAGGGAAGAAUACUUAGCACAGUGCUAGUACACUGUAAGUACUCAAAUGUUACAGAUCCAAGUAUUUUGUAAGAAAAUACCAGCAAAAGAUAAAAGUUUUUUUAUGGAUCGUAUUUGUAUCAAUCACCUACAUGAUCUAGAGCCCUCACAUGGAUAACAUUUAAAUGUUCAGUUUGCCUAAUAGCCUUCAAUGAAACACGGAUUCUUCUACUUAAAAAAGGUAAGCCUGGAGAAAAUAAAACUGAUUACUAUGCAAGAAAAAAAUGUGCUCUGCUGUGCUCCUUGGUAUUUUUAAGUGGUUUCCAUUGUCUUAACACCUGUCUUAAAACGGGUAUGUUGUUUGCACUGAACCCUCAAAAGUAUUUAUACCUAUUAAGUUAAAUUUCCCUUUUUAGAGUUAAUGCUUCAUUGCCUGUCGGCAUAUUAUCACUAUCUGUCUUUGAAAAAUUUUCUUUUAAGUCUCAACUAUUUCUUCAUAAAGCUCUUGUUCAGAGAAACAUUUUUUGAUUUGUCCAAUGGACUGAAAUAAAAGGUUAGUAAACC